rnacentral:rRNA from 1 species
AUACGGAGGGUGCAAGCGUUGUUCGGAAUCACUGGGCGUAAAGGGCGCGCAGGCGGUUUGGUAAGUCAGAUGUGAAAGCCCAUGGCUCAACCAUGGAAGUGCAUUUGAAACUGUCAGACUUGAGUACUAGAGGGGAAAGUGGAAUUCCCGGUGUAGAGGUGAAAUUCGUAGAUAUCGGGAGGAAUACCGGUGGCGAAGGCGACUUUCUGGCUAGAUACUGACGCUGAGGCGCGAAAGCGUGGGGAGCAAACAGCAUUAGAUACCCUAGUAGUCC